rnacentral:tRNA from 1 species
GAGGGCAGAGCUCAGUGCUAAGAGUGUGCGCCUAGCAUGCACAAGGUCCUGGGUUCAAUCCCCAGUACCUCCA